AUACGGAGGAUGCGAGCGUUAAUCGGAAUUACUGGGCGUAAAGGGUGCGUAGGCGGCUUGAUAAGUCGGAUGUGAAAGCCCCGGGCUUAACCUGGGAAUUGCAUUCGAUACUGUCAGGCUAGAGUAUGUCAGAGGUUGGCGGAAUUCCUGGUGUAGCGGUGAAAUGCGUAGAUAUCAGGAGGAACACCAGUGGCGAAGGCGGCUAACUGGGGCAAUACUGACGCUGAGGCACGAAAGCGUGGGGAGCAAACAGGAUUAGAAACCCUAGUAGUCC
rnacentral:rRNA from 1 species